AUUGAACGCUGGCGGCAGGCCUAACACAUGCAAGUCGAACGGUAACAGGAAGAAGCUUGCUUCUUUGCUGACGAGUGGCGGACGGGUGAGUAAUGUCUGGGAAACUGCCUGAUGGAGGGGGAUAACUACUGGAAACGGUAGCUAAUACCGCAUAACGUCGCAAGACCAAAGAGGGGGACCUUCGGGCCUCUUGCCAUCGGAUGUGCCCAGAUGGGAUUAGCUAGUAGGUGGGGUAACGGCUCACCUAGGCGACGAUCCCUAGCUGGUCUGAGAGGAUGACCAGCCACACUGGAACUGAGACACGGUCCAGACUCCUACGGGAGGCAGCAGUGGGGAAUAUUGCACAAUGGGCGCAAGCCUGAUGCAGCCAUGCCGCGUGUAUGAAGAAGGCCUUCGGGUUGUAAAGUACUUUCAGCGGGGAGGAAGGGAGUAAAGUUAAUACCUUUGCUCAUUGACGUUACCCGCAGAAGAAGCACCGGCUACCUCCGU
rnacentral:rRNA from 1 species